UGUGAGGUCUGAUCGUCAUGUGACUGCGAGCCGAGUGGCUGGAGACCGGAACGCCAGCUUCAAUGAAGAGCCGUUACUGAGAACGAGACCGAAGAUAGUGCUCGUCGUUUUAGGGAGGGUAUACACGCAUACACUCGCACAGCUUCACUCAACCACACACUCUUUUGAACACUUACUGCAAGGGUCUGCCGGACACAGGAAAAGUCUGGCGUUCAAACACCGUGCUAAGAGGGAGAGAACAGGAGUGCUGGGAGUAAAACCUUUCGCGAACGUUUGCUGUUAUGCGGGAGUUUAGGAUACUCUUCAUUUUUGAGUAGCCUGACAGCGUUGGAUAACUUAUGGAAUGUAAACGGCAAACAUAGCAGAAAGGGAACUUCUACCCUCCUUUUUACUUUGUCUUGCUUUCAUCGUGAAAUAUAUUAUCUGUGGAAAUACAUGAGAAGCGGAAUUGCGUUGUGAUAAACGCAUUGGUUGGAACAGUCAGCCGGGGUGAGAAAACUCGCUGCCUCGGCGUGGAUGAGACAGGACGGACAGGGGCGGCAUUAAAAAAACGAUUCGCAUGAACUUUCAAACUUGUAAAACAUAAUCUAUAGAUUUUUAUACGUUUUAGAUUUUUGCUUAAUUUGUAUUCGUCGAUUUUCACUCCGGGUUGCUGAACUUAUUUUGGAAUAUGGUUGGGGAAAUGGAACCGAAAGAGAAGCCGAAGCCGACGCCAGAAUAUCUCAUGCAGUUGAUGAACGACAAAAAACUGAUGAGCAGUCUGCCCAACUUUUGCGGCAUUUUCAACCACCUAGAGCGGCUGUUGGACGAAGAAAUCGGGCGGGUACGGAAGGACAUGUACAACGACACGAUGAACGGCAGCACGGAGAGGCGGAGCUCGGAGCUGCCGGACGCCGUGGGCCCCGUGGCGCAGCUGCAGGAGAAGCUCUACGUGCCCGUGAAGGAGUUCCCCGACUUUAAUUUCGUGGGGAGGAUCCUCGGGCCUCGGGGACUGACGGCGAAGCAGCUGGAGGCGGAGACCGGGUGCAAAAUCAUGGUGCGAGGGAAGGGCUCCAUGAGGGACAAGAAAAAGGAGGAGCAAAAUCGGGGGAAGCCCAACUGGGAGCACCUGAACGAAGACCUGCAUGUCCUGAUCACGGUGGAGGACUCCCAGAACCGGGCCGAGAUCAAGCUGAAGCGGGCCGUGGAGGAGGUCCGCAAGCUGCUGGUGCCGGCGGCGGAGGGAGAGGACAGCCUGAAGAAGAUGCAGCUGAUGGAGCUGGCCAUCCUCAACGGCACAUACAGAGACGCCAACGUCAAGUCGCCCGCACUCACCUUCUCUCUGGCAGCCACUGCCCAGGCCCCCCGCAUGAUCACAGGCCCCGGCCAAGUGAUGUCUGGGGCCACCCUCCGCACCCCGACCUCGGCCGGCCCCACCCUGAUGCCCCUGAUCCGACAGAUCCAGACCUCGGCGCUCAUGCCCAGCGGGGCACCCCACCCGGGGGCCACCCUCGUCCCCCAGGGACCCGAGUCCGGGCUCAUCUACGCACCCUACGAGUACCCCUACACGCUGGCCCCCGCCACUUCCAUUCUGGAGUACCCCAUCGACUCCACCGGGGUGUUAGGUAUGGCUUUCCCCACCAAAGGCUAAACGCGCUCAAGACCGGCAUCCCACCUGCGCGCUAAUCUAUGUGCUAACCCCUGUUUUGUUUCACAGAGUUGCAGUGUGUCUGUGUGUGUGUGUGUGUGUGUGUGUGUAUUCAGCUCACGCAGUCAGACAGACGGUUUUUUGCUACUGAUGUCCACCCUGGAAGUGUAUCCCAGAGAUAUUGUUAGGUGUUUGUAUGUGUGUGUGGGUGUGUGUUUGUUUGCAUGUGGGCAAGUGAGUGCACUGUACACAGAUUUUUGUAUCUUGUGUGUAUGUGAUUGUGUGUUAAAAUAUGAAAUCCAAAAGUUUUCUUAUAUAAUAAGGAAGUAAUCAGUAAUGAGUACUAUUGUAGAUUAUUACAUGUAUUCUAUAUGAUGUGUAGCGUUUGUAAAAUUGUUCUACAAUGCAUGCAUGAAAUCGUAUUACAUUUUAAAGUGAUUAAAAUUGAUAUUCAGUAUUUGUUACUAUAGAGUAUAUAGUUCUUCGUAUAUUGAAGAUAUGUGUCAUUCAUUUUGGAUUUCAUAUUUUACCGUAUAUUUACAUGUUCAAUGCCUUCUCGAUCUGAUGUAAAACAAAAAAUACUGUCUUCAUUUACUAAUCACUUAAUUUAUUGCAGUUAAAGUUUUAAGUUUUAAACUUUGAGCUUGGUCCGAGUCUGAUCAGUAUUAUAUAUCCAUAUUUGAAGGUUUGUCUGGGGGAAACCAUUUGAACCAGCGGGGGGGGGGGGGGGAGAAGGUUAAACCAUUCCUGAGUGUGCUUUGAUUACGUGAUUAGUAAAGCCUGCAUGCUGCCAGCAAACCCGUUCAGGGGAGUCACGCGGACCCCGUCUGGGUUUACUGACAGUUCAGUGGCAGCGGACUGCCGCGGUGUUAAAAACUCUGUACAUACUCUCUUUAAAAAUGCAUUGUGCCUUAUUUUGAAGUUUUUUUUUUGUAAUUUAAAUGAUGUGUAGAUGCCUUAAGUCGUUUUUUUUUUUGUAUUGUCAUUACGAAAAAAAAGGAAACUACUGUCUUUCUUACACUGCCUGUAUACGGGAUAAGUCUUCUAACUGUGCUCUGGUGUCGUUGCAAUUCAAGCAGGUGCGGUGGCAGCUAAGGUUCGGAGGCACGACAUGCGCGUGCAUCCUUACCAAAGGAUAAUGACCGCCGACAGAGCCGCCACAGGCAACUAACCUUUGACCUUCUGACCUCUGAACUCCUGCACCCAAUGAUGACCUGACCAAUGCCUGCCUGCUGACCAGCUCUCUGGCAAACGUCUACGCUUGCCUGUCUCGCGGUCGCGGCGAGCACGGGCCCAGCUUUUCACCUAACAAAGCGACACGACGAUGACUCGACAGCACCGCCAUCCCCUCCCCUUCCCCCUCCCCCUCCCUGCAGCCAUCUCCGGUCAGGUGACCGUGGCUCUGAUUCUGCACUGAAUAGUUAUACAGCAAUAAUAAGGUCCAACGCCCCUUUCCCACACACACACACACACACACACGCACACACACACACACAUGCAUACACAUAGGUGAACACAGCCCCCACUCAAACCUGAAUGUACUGUUGCAGUAAUGAGCAAGUGUCAUGUGUGAGUCUUUUGGUCAUUUAAGGCCAUUUGCCAAAUUGAUUCCCAGCUUGUGAAAUAUUUUGAGUGUGUGGAAGUCUGGCAAGCAGGCUAAUUGGGAGGCCGACACAAGAGGCGGGGUUCAGGCAGGGCUGAAGGACUGUGGGUUAAUGUGCGUGGGUGGGACUAAAGGUGAGUGGGGGUGGGGUUAAAGAGGGUUGGGGUGGGGCUACGUGGGGACAGAAGGACCCUGUACACUGAGUGACAGCAAAGGUGCAUGCGUCAGUCGUCCCAUUACUUAGCAACAUUUCUUUUUAGGAACACUGCCUUGCAUCAUCAAGGACAUUAAAAACGAAGCCAUGCUUUCCUCUCUGCUUUAUGUGUAUCAAAAUUGUAGAUAAAUAUUGAGACACGUGGAAAAAUGAAACUCAGAAAAACUAAUAAGUUGACAAUUUUUAUGAUUCAAGGGUGCUGCCAAACAGGAAGAUAUAUAUUCUCAAAUGUCAUUGUAAGCCUUUUAUAUUUACAAUUAUUGUAAACAAAGAACAAACCCUUUAGUUUAAAUACAAACUGGUUCUUUUUAUGGGACUGAAGAGGUAUUGACGACCAAAAUGGCCUUUUUUUUUUUUUUUUGUUAAACAUUUACAGUGUUUGGAAAGAAAUUGAAGUGCCUUUCUUUACUCACGGUCAUUGAGUCUGUGCGUGCCAUCGGCCAGCUGUCUGACUGCACGUGACAGUUAAUGCAUUCUACACCAUCGCCUUACACACGAAACAGUGAAUGAGUGAAAAAAAAAAAAAUAUAUAUAUAUAAAUCUCUCAAAGCCUAAGACAUGCAAAUAUGACUCUGGCUGCUUACACUAAAGACUGAGGAAAAAAAUGAAGCCAAGAGCAAAAGUUGCCUUUUUGUGUUUUGGUUUUUUGUUUUUUGUUUUUUUGCCAACCUUUGUGUAAUCAUACGGAGAAUCACGGAGCAGUAUGAUUACACCAUUGCAUCUAAACUCUAUGGGACUCUUUGAAUUACUGAAGCUCCACUGAACUGGAAGAGGGACUGGGAGUGGCGCAAGCUCACUCACCUCUGUGUCAGGGAAGAGGCACUUUGCUUGCAACUGUGGAUUUAAUUAAUCUGUCUCGGUGUACCUGCGCUGUUAGUGAGGCAGAUUAGCAUUCCACUUGCAGCUACACACCGGAAAACAGGUACGCUCGAAUAUCAGAGCAUCGUAACAUUGGGGCUUAUGGGAGGUGAAGUCCAGAGCUUGUAGUCUGCGUGGUCAAUUAUAACCCUUUGUUUUGGACUUCAUCUCCCACUAGCUCCACGGCGUUAUCUUUUUUGUCUUCCCGACAAUUGGAUACAGAGCAGUCCUGAACCUGUGACAGUUCUCUAAUAAAAAAAAAAUAGAUUUUUUUUCUGGUUUUUGCAUUUGUGUGUGUGUGUGUGUUACAAACUUUUGGUAUUUUAGGAUAUUUAGAGAUCUAGUUGUUUUGCAUAGAUAUGUUAUGUCCCCCACUGAGGACCGCCCCUUGCCUGUGUGGAGGAGGCUUUGGGGUGUUUUGCCAGCAGAUGCAGGUGGCUUUUGGGCCACAUAUUAUACUCUAGGUGGGUUCCUGUGAGUUCUCUGAACAGCCAUCUCAUGGGGAGCCGUGCCCCCAAAACCAUAUGAAACGUAUGUCAAAAUGCAAGCUGUUAGGGGUGUAUUUUGAAUGAUUAUUUGGUACAUAUUUUGAAAAGAAAAAAAAAAAAAAAAAAACUUUUUGUUACAAAAUAUGCCAAUUAUACACUGUUGUUUCAUGCUCAUUUCUACAUGAUGCCAUACUACAUACAUAUAGUACAGUAUUGAAACAAAAGUGCAUACAGUAAAAAAAAAAAAUACUUUUGCAUUAUUUUUUAAGGGGAGAAAUUGUGGCGCUUUACAGUAGUUUUCUCAGUUCUUGUACCCAUAUUUUAUUACUAUGCAACCGAUUGGCCUGUAAUGCUUAGAUUCCUUGCCAUAAACGUGUCUUCCUGUUUUAUAUCUUCGCAGUUCCAAUGAUGCAGUGUCAUAUUAGAUGUUUUGGAAGGUUUUUUGUGACAGUAUAGAUGUGUGCCAUCUCAGUUCUUUUGGGGAAGACCCUGGAAUAGUAUAGGCUGGGGGAAAUGUUAUUCGCAAAGACCGCAUAUUAUUUUAAAGUUUAAGAUAUUUGUUAAUGUGUGAGACUAUCAUGUCCAAUGAGCUUGUUGGCAUCUUUAAAAUCUCACUACUCAUUGGGUCCUCAGUAUUAUUUUAGAGAUCUGUUUGUUAUGGCAGUAUAAUGUUCUUUGUUUUUGUUUGUGUUUCAAGGUGUUUUUUUUUUUAUUUCUCUUUUUUUGCAGUCUGUGUGCGUAUGUGUGCGCGCGUGUGUGUGUGUGUGGGUAAAUUCUGUUCUUACAUGGUAGUCUGUCCCUAUGUUAUAACUGCUCAAGCUUUGUAUUAACAAUAUCAAUUAUCCAGAUAAUUGCCUACAGGAUUACAUGGAUGUAUUCACAGCUGUUGUUACAAGUUUAUAAUGUAUUUUUCUAUCUAAUUUUGUAUGUAUGUAAUAAAUAACAUUAAUGAA